CCUGACCCGGUCCCUCUGCACCAGCGUGGAGGGGGGAGGGGCGCGCACCCUUUCCGCCCAGGCUUUUGCGGGCUCCUCGGGCCGAACCCGAAGGGGCUGUUCCUGAACCUUGACUUGUUAUCAUAGGGACCCAAGCUCUAUUUUUGUGUGGCCAAUUCGUGCACUGCAGCAAAAUGGCCCUUCAGUCGCGUCUUGGGGUUUCUCCUCGGUUCAAAUGCUCUCGCGCUGAGAAAAAGCCGGAGGAAAAAAAAGCGACACCCUCCCUCCCCCAUUAAUUAUUUGUGGGGCCGGAGUAACGCGGGCUGGUGCAACCGGUGCAUAUAAGGACUUGUGUGCAAGGAAGGGGAUCCGCCUCCAGGCGCGGAAAGAGUAGGGAAGAAGCGCACACGCACAGUGCACCCAGCUGGGCGCUUCGGCAGUUUGCAGCUGCGGCGGGGUCGGGUCCACCCGCGGUCCCCGGAAUGCCGGACGGCUGAUCCCGGGUGCUGGUCACUCGCCGAUUCGGGGCUGGGAAGGUUUGCCAGAAGCGGGAAAGAUGGGAGAUCUGAGCGCUCUCUUGGCAUCGCCACACCCAGGACUUGCUCGUGCCGCAAUUCCCCACGGAAACAACCGAGUUGAAACGAGAAGCUUGCUCUCUGGGUGCAGUAGCUAGAAGGCUUCAGGUAACUCCAAAGCCAACACUGGGUGAGGCAACACACGCCGCCUCAGGACUCAGCAUUUCUUUCAGGCUGCGUUUUCGUGGCAGACCUACCCAGAUUGAUGGAGAAAGUUUGGCUGGCGGAUAAGAAGUAACGCGGAAGAUGUAUUAUUGUGGCUGUCACUCAGGUUUUCUGCUCAUUGGUAGACAAAGGGUGAGGAGGUGACUGAAAUUGGAACAGUGGAAGGACCCUUCACCAAAACCUGGAACUUCAGAAGAAUGGCAGGGCUGAAAAUGAUUAGUGUUAAUUCAUUCCAGUUGUGUUACCCUACCCAUAAGCCUCAGAAGUCAUGCGACUUCAUUUCCACCACUGUCAUGAAUCUACCCGGACUCAAGGGGAGGAUGCAGAGAUGCCACCUUUCAAUAAGAGGAUUAUCUAAGUUGCACUGAAGAAGAGCAUGUGGGAUGGAAGAUACUAUUGCAGUAUUUUUGGAAACUAAAGCCUACCAUAUUCUUCAAGCCUUACCAUCAAUUCUGUGUCCUCAGCAUUCUCCCCUUUGCUCACGUUAGCGAGAGUUAGUUUCUACUUUUGCUUGUAACCAAAGAAUAAUGUAGCUGGCAUAAGCACAAACAUAUCAGAAUAAGUAUAAAUAUUUAAACUUCCUUAUUAAAAGACAGAAGCUCUCAGAAUUUGUAGAAACAAAGCAAAGCAACCCCAAUAAAUUAAGAAUGUGGAUGCUUUUCAAAUCUCUCACAGAAAAUUAACAACAUUGGACCAGGCCAAAAAGUACGCUUUUUAUA
rnacentral:lncRNA from 1 species